rnacentral:rRNA from 1 species
GCUUGCUACCUGACCUAGCGGCGGACGGGUGAGUAAUGCUUAGGAAUCUGCCUAUUAGUGGGGGACAACAUUCCGAAAGGAAUGCUAAUACCGCAUACGCCCUACGGGGGAAAGCAGGGGAUCUUCGGACCUUGCGCUAAUAGAUGAGCCUAAGUCAGAUUAGCUAGUUGGUGGGGUAAAGGCCUACCAAGGCGACGAUCUGUAGCGGGUCUGAGAGGAUGAUCCGCCACACUGGGACUGAGACACGGCCCAGACUCCUACGGGAGGCAGCAGUGGGGAAUAUUGGACAAUGGGCGAAAGCCUGAUCCAGCCAUGCCGCGUGUGUGAAGAAGGCCUUUUGGUUGUAAAGCACUUUAAGCGAGGAGGAGGCUACUUGGAUUAAUACUCUAGGAUAGUGGACGUUACUCGCAGAAUAAGCACCGGCUAACUCUGUGCCAGCAGCCGCGGUAAUACAGAGGGUGCGAGCGUUAAUCGGAUUUACUGGGCGUAAAGCGUGCGUAGGCGGCUUUUUAAGUCGGAUGUGAAAUCCCUGAGCUUAACUUAGGAAUUGCAUUCGAUACUGGGAAGCUAGAGUAUGGGAGAGGAUGGUAGAAUUCCAGGUGUAGCGGUGAAAUGCGUAGAGAUCUGGAGGAAUACCGAUGGCGAAGGCAGCCAUCUGGCCUAAUACUGACGCUGAGGUACGAAAGCAUGGGGAGCAAACAGGAUUAGAUACCCUGGUAGUCCAUGCCGUAAACGAUGUCUACUAGCCGUUGGGGCCUUUGAGGCUUUAGUGGCGCAGCUAACGCGAUAAGUAGACCGCCUGGGGAGUACGGUCGCAAGACUAAAACUCAAAUGAAUUGACGGGGGCCCGCACAAGCGGUGGAGCAUGUGGUUUAAUUCGAUGCAACGCGAAGAACCUUACCUGGUCUUGACAUAGUAAGAACUUUCCAGAGAUGGAUUGGUGCCUUCGGGAACUUACAUACAGGUGCUGCAUGGCCGUCGUCAGCUCGUGUCGUGAGAUGUUGGGUUAAGUCCCGCAACGAGCGCAACCCUUUUCCUUAUUUGCCAGCACUUCGGGUGGGAACUUUAAAGAUACUGCCAGUGACAAACUGGAGGAAGGCGGGGACGACGUCAAGUCAUCAUGGCCCUUACGACCAGGGCUACACACGUGCUACAAUGGUCGGUACAAAGGGUUGCUACCUAGCGAUAGGAUGCUAAUCUCAAAAAGCCGAUCGUAGUCCGGAUUGGAGUCUGCAACUCGACUCCAUGAAGUC